CCCGCAGCCAUGGCUACAGCAGGACAGGGUGUAAUCUGGAUGUCAUGUCAGACCUGAAGCCUACAGCUUCAGAUUGUGCGCUUGACUGUCAAGCCUUGUGAAGGAGAGGAUGGAGGCUUUUAUUUCCCCUUACCACCCGGAUGCGUCACAUCAUAUGCCUACGGUGAAAUACGAGGGAACUAGCCUGCUGCAAGCAAGAGCCCUCCAUGUACAGCUCGAAUCGAUCAAGAUUGACGAAGAUGACCUUGUCUCUGGCCUUGCCAUGCAGAUUGCCCUUUACUGGAUAUUCGACAUUG
rnacentral:lncRNA from 1 species